rnacentral:lncRNA from 1 species
UAACUAAUAAGUUCAGAUAUCUCUGACUUAGCCAAAUAAACAUAAAACUUCUGAGUACGCAGCGGAAUAAGGUUCUGAUUACAUGUAUGAAGACAUGUAACCCUAGAGUUCAUUAACACAUAAUAAGACAAAAGAAUCCCGCUCGUCACUUCAUCACCAUCGGCAGCUACUCAACCUGCACAUUUAGAAAUAUAUGCAGGGCUUGAGUACAAAAGUACUCAGUGGGCACGUAUGCCUAAGUAUAAAAUACAUGCUUCAAAACUGUAAAUUGUCAUGCCAUAAUUAAACAGUACAGCAAGGGAGUUUUUCGCUAAAAGGCCCAAGCUUACUAAAUUCAUUUGUGAUUCUUAAAGUUCGACUGCAGUCUAAGUUCUCUUGUAAUCUAUCAUAUCUGGAACUUUGUGCCGGAGAGGUGGCCACCUCUCACGGUCACUUGACCGGCCAACCCGCUAGAUGACUCACGGUCACUGGUGUACACUAGUCCUGGCAGGAUAGCUAUCAACUGCUCAGGACCCGAAUUCGAUUGCAUAAUAAAAGUCACAUCAGAUAGAUAUCAUACUGAAAUUUAAAUAUUUUAUGGCAAGACAAUAUUUGAAAUAACUUCAAUUAAUUUAAUCAUGAGAUAACUUGCUUGAACGUAACAUUUAAACUCAUUUGAUAUAUAUGAAAGUAAUGCCCACCUGAUAGAAACUUUCUGUGACACAGUAGCUCCUUAACUGAUUAUUAAUCUCGUGCUUGAC